AGUGAACGCUGGCGGCGUGCUUAACACAUGCAAGUCGAACGGACGAAAUAAGCUUGCUUAUUUCGUUAGUGGCGCACGGGUGAGUAAUGUAUAGCUAACCUGCCCUUUAGUGGGGGACAACAGUUGGAAACGACUGCUAAUACCCCAUACUCCUUCUUAUCAUAAGGCAAGUCGGGAAAGAUUUAUUGCUAAAGGAUGGGGCUUUAUUGUAUCAGCUUGUUGGUGGGGUAAUGGCCUACCAAGGCGAUGACGCAUACCUGGUCUGAGAGGAUGAUCAGGCACACUGGAACUGAGACACGGUCCAGACUCCUACGGGAGGCAGCAGUGGGGAAUAUUGCACAAUGGGGGAAACCCUGAUGCAGCAACGCCGCGUGGAGGAUGACGCAUUUCGGUGUGUAAACUCCUUUUAUAAGGGAAGAUAAUGACGGUACCUUAUGAAUAAGCGCCGGCUAACUCCGUGCCAGCCGCCGCCGUAA
rnacentral:rRNA from 1 species